rnacentral:lncRNA from 1 species
CAGUCUCCUCCCACGCAAGUUCAAUUAACUCAUGUCUUCAUUUCUCCCUAUAGCCAGGUCUCCAGCAGAGGUGGAUGUGCCUGCCAGUCACUGAAGGCGAGGAUGACAGGUGUGGUCAAUGUGACAGAAAGACAUGACAUGGUCCGGUGUGAUGGAGAGGACAGAAGGGCAGUCAUCCAGCCUUCUUGAACACCAUGGGCUGGCGCCUUGUCGUAGAAGCCGUCUGUUCUUUCACUUUUCCCAAAGAGCUAACACUUCUCUGCUGCUCUCUGGAUCCUCCUCCCCCUACCUUGAAC